rnacentral:lncRNA from 1 species
UCCACUGCAUCCCAGUUCUUCUUAUUAUCAUGUACAUUUUUGCAACCAGAAACAACUUAAUUCUUAUUUGAUUCCAUGGAAGCAUCACCAGAAACAAUAGCACUCUCAUUCACUGCAUGCCGUUCUUAUCUUCACUUAUAUUUUCAUCUUGACCAGCACCAGUAGCAUUGUUAUCCGCUGGCACAUCAAUAUUGUCACGACCAUAAGCACAUACAUUAUUAUCUUCCUCACGAUAUACAAUAACAUCCUCUUCUUCUGUUGGUUUAUCAUACAAGAGAGAUGUUGUAGUCUUCUCAACAAUGAAUCCCUCCCCAAAAACAACCAUAAUCUUCACCUUGUUACCAGGUUCUAGAUUUG